rnacentral:lncRNA from 1 species
UGUAGAAAGGACGACUUGGUCAAAUGCAUAGAAUACUUGUGUAGAAACGUGAUUUUAUAAUUCGGAUAGAAGGAUUAAAGGUCACGUCAUUCAACAGGAGAAACUGGGUCUGCAGCUUCGCUGGGUCCUUGAGGAUAGGCUGAGAGAGGCCCCUGCCCGGCGUGUGCCUGUCCAGGGACGGGCUCAUGAAGGACCCCCCGAACACCCUGCUGGCCUGCUCCCUGAUCGCCACAGAGGUCCUUGAUCACCUGAAGACCUCGGUGAGCCCUCCUGACUACAACAAUGAGGCAGAGGAGUGUCUUCACGGGGAACAGUUGUUGGCCCCCGCUAAGGACCCCCAGAAUAUCCUGCUGGCCUCUAAUGACCCGGACCCCCAGAAUCCCCCUGAUGACUUCAAGGGAGCAGAGGAGUGUCUCCACGGGGAAGACAUAACGUUGGCCUCCUCCCCUAAGGUCAGUCAUCUUAGUAACUAGUGUAGCAGCCUAUCACACAGGCCACAACACGGUGUCAUUUACAGUAACAAAGGUUUCUGUCAUUCCCAAGUAUAACCUACAGAGUGCUGCCUUCUGGCUGAGUCCUUUCAGUCUAACAGUACAUGAAACACAAAGCAACGAUUUUACGCAUGGGUGAUAAUAUGUUGCCAAAAAUGUUGUUACUUAGAACCAUACCAAUUUAUACUUUUUUUACUCAAGGGAAGCAAAUGGAUGAUAUUCAUCCAUCACCAUCAUAGCCAAAAAGCAAAGCUAUAUUAUAUUGUAUAUCGUACAUAAAUAUGGUAGAUAAUUGUUAACUUGUAACGUUAAUUUGCAUCGCAAGAUAAGUGCCUUCCUAUUUGGAUUAAUAUAGGCUCCUCGGGGCUUCCGUAGUUCGAGUUUGACUUCCUGUGAUGACCAGCAGAUGUAUGCCGUGAUAUGCAUAGACAUCUUAUAGAAAUAUAAUAUAAGAUGUCUAUGGUGAUAUGUGCCAUACCUAUAAAGUUAUUAAUGGUCACUACGCCUCGAGUAUUCUUCCUUUACAACCCGGCCGGCCGCCUGUAUUGGGCAGAAGUUAC